UAGGGAAUCUUCGGCAAUGGGGGGAACCCUGACCGAGCAACGCCGCGUGAGUGAAGAAGGUUUUCGGAUCGUAAAGCUCUGUUGUUAAGGAAGAACGAGUGUGAGAAUGGAAAGUUCAUGCUGUGACGGUACCGAAAAAGCAAGCCACGGCUAACUACGUGCCAGCAGCCGCGGUAAUACGUAGGUGGCAAGCGUUGUCCGGAAUUAUUGGGCGUAAAGCGCGCGCAGGCGGUCACUUAAGUCCAUCUUAGAAGUGCGGAGCUUAACACAGUGAUGGGAUGGAAACUGGGAGACUGGGGUAUCGGGGAGGAAAGUGGAAUUCCUGGGGUAGCGGUGAAAUGCGUAGAUAUUAGGAAGAAAACCGGUGGCGAAGGCGACUUUCUGGACGAAAACUGACGCUGAGGCGCGAAAGCGUGGGGAGCAAACAGG
rnacentral:rRNA from 1 species